CACACGCACUUGCGUUAACGCGGCGUCGACUCGCGUCUCAUUUGCGGCGAAAGUUACCGCAAAGUCACCGCUUUUCCCCACAGGAACGCAGCGUGCACGCGAUGCUAGUAAUAGUUCGGAGCAGCAAAUGUUUCUUUCGCUCCUAUGUUAAUACCAGCCGUGAUCAACACACCUUUGGAAAGAAGUGACAAGCAAACAUCCCAGGCUGGCGAAUAGUGUUAAAGUCAACCGAAAUAUGUGUGCGAUAGUGACGUUGAUUGUACCAACUUUAUCAGAAUAAAUUGAUUUCCGAACAGACAGCGAUGUGACAGUUUUGGACUGAAUGACGGAGCAGACGAAAUUCAACCAACAAAGUGUAUUCCGCGGGACCCUACACCAAGACAGGCGAUACCAGUUCCAUGGGAAGAAUAAUAAAUGAAUGUUGACGGUAGGAUGUCGUCAAACAAUGUGGAUUGCGAUUGCAAAAAGAAACGGGACCACAUGAUGAGAUGGUGGCGAGCCACAGUAAGACUCCGGGAUCUGUGCGACUCUUCUAGUGUUGUGGGGCAACGCUAUUGCGGUCGAACAAAAUAAUGAUUCGUCCCUAUCUAGCCGAUAUAUUAAAUGAUUAAAGAAUCGUACCCCAUAGACAACAUAUGAUGGAUUCAAGAUAAGAACAAUUAAAUGUCUGGAUCCACAAUUAUUCAAGAUUAAUCUAACCCAAUGAAGUAAUAAAUUUAAGUUGGAAAUAAAGAAUAAAGAACAUUAUGAAAUUAUAACAAUAAUUAUUUAUUAUAAUUGUAGAAAAUACAUUGGGAUAAAGCAAAGCAAUGCCAAAUUUUUGCCUCUCUGUAUUGAAAACGUGUUUUCGGAUUGUGUGGCAUGAUUUCAAUUUCACAGCUCUACAAUUAAUUUCGGAAGUUCGAACUUUUCAUUUUAGAAGUAGAU